rnacentral:rRNA from 1 species
UACGGGGGGGGCAAGCGUUGUUCGGAAUUACUGGGCGUAAAGGGCUCGUAGGCGGCCAACUAAGUCAGACGUGAAAUCCCUCGGCUUAACCGGGGAACUGCCUCUGAUACUGGAUGGCUUGAGAUUGGGAGAGGGAUGCGGAAUUCCAGGUGUAGCGGUGAAAUGCGUAGAUAUCGGGAGGAACACCAGUGGCGAAGGCGACUUCCUGGCCUGUUCUUGACGCUGAGGCGCGAAAGCUAGGGUAGCAAACGGG